UCUCCUCUCCCUAGAAACCCUCGUAGCUGCGUUUGUUUUCUCUCCCCUCUCUCUUCCUAGUAUGGAAAAGUUCAGAGUACACAGAGCCACAACGGGCUUUUGCGGGUUCAUUUGCUGAAACCCUCAAAGUUUCAACCUCAAAUCCUUUGUUUUGUCCCAAACACGGUCAAGCCACUUGGCCCAAUAGGAAAAUUCUUUCAACGAUUAUUGAGUCCAAGAAAAGAAAUGAAAGCUAAUAUUGUUAAAGACGCAAAGAAGGCCCAACCAUGGGUGAAAAUGGCCAACUAGGGGCUUGGUACGCCCCUAGUCUUCCCUUCCUCUUUACUUAUGCAUUAUUUGUAUUUUCUUUUAUAUGUAAUUGAUUGUAUCCUGUAUUUGUAAAGUUUUAAAACUCAUAUAUAUUAUUGGAAUCAUUAUGAUUAUGAA